ensembl:lncRNA
UCCUAUCAGCAGAGCUCUGCGCCGCUGCUCCAGCCCGCGCGGCUGCUUGCAGGUGAAUUGAAAGUCGUUGGCGGGGAGGGAAGGACACAGCCGCCGCCUCCUCUGCUUGCUUCUGCCUCUUGCUGCUGCGUCCUGGUGGGGCAGCUGAGGCGCGUGAAACCCGCACCCCCAGCCGAGCCCGGCGGCGUUUCUCCUUCUGCCGCUGUAGGGCAGCUGCUGCGCUGUGCCCGUGCCCAGGAGGCGCCCGCCUCAGGGGAGGCACCGGCCGGCCAGGCAUGUCUUCGCCGAGGGGCUCCCCGCUCGCCAGAGACCUCGAGGGAGCGGGAAGGACAGGCAGCCUCAAGCGCGCAAGAGGCUAAUUUGGGAGCCAGUGGUGACCUUGGAGCAAUCUUCCUAGCCAGUAGACCUAUAGAACAUGCACCUUCUCUCUGGGCUGCAGUCUUCUGCUUCAGGCAGGGUUCUGGCAACCUUGGACUUUGGAUUCUACAUGCAUUAUUUGUAUGUGUAUGUAUGUAUAAUCUUUCCCUGGGACCAAGUCCUUUGCUUCAGUGCUUAUUCUGCUGUGCUUUUGGCUCGCGUUGCCCUUGAGCAAGGGAUUUGGAUUAAGUUGCCCAAACUUCUUUCUCCUAGGCAAACUUCACCGCUUGUGCUCUGUAGUUGGUGGCUGGCUCCGACUGCAGCGAGUUAAAUGCUGCUGCUUCUUGCCCCGUGGAUAUAUGCUGAGCUCUGCAGAAGGACCUGCUACAGCAGCAGUUUGCAUUGGCAGAUAAUCUUCUGGACUUGUUCCUUGUCUGAUGCAGGGGAGCAGUUGCCUGAAUGAUGGGAAUUAUAACCUUUGGUUCUAGGCAGCCUUUUGGGAAGGAGAGGUAAUUUAGGUACCUUUUGAGAUUAACACUGUUUUAAUUAACUCGAGCAGGCUAAUCGCUGGGCACAGGAUUGGUUCAGGCUGUUACCUGAAAAUGGGAAAAAGGCAUACUAAGAAUAGUGAAAUAAUACUGUGUCCUUUUAAUUGGGUUGAUUUUUUAUACUCCAAUGACUUCCUGCCUAUAAUUUGAGACCCCUUUUUAGCCUCUAAUAAAUAGUAGCUACCCUUGAGAGAUUGUUUGCAUCUAUACACCACGGUUGGAAGGCUCUGUAAUCAUAAAUACUUUAUUGUGCAAAAUUACCCUUCUUAUUAUAAGAUGCAUGAGGAGUUGCUGCUGCUGCUGCUGCUGCCACCUCGCAGAAUGGAGAUCAGUGUUUCCUUAGGUAAAUUUGGGAGCAGAUCCAUGUCUGUAUGACUAUAUAUACCUUUUAUAUGUAGUACUUUCUAGCAUACCAGGUAUUUUGCAAUCAUUGACUUGCAUCCUAGGGGAGGUUAACAUAAAAAUAAACUUUCAAAAGGAAAGUUUCUCCUCCUUACUGCAAUACACAGAAAUGAUAACAUUUGCAGAACGCAGUCACUGCUUCAGCCUUAAAAGCAGAGAUUAAAAUCACAGAGGUGAUGAGCCUUUCCUUAUUUUUUCCAGGCGUCAUCAGGUGCUAAAAAGAUAACAAAUGCAGGGUCAGGCAAACUUCCCCAGGGAAGAGUUACAAAGCCAUAAUGCAGACCCUAUUUCUGGCUACCACCUACCUAAUGUCUUGAUGACUGGGAAACACAGAAAAGAGCCUCUGAGGCAGAUUGCAAAGCAGGGCUUUUAAAAAAAGGAAAAUGUAGAACUGCCCGGUGGUAUGUGGUUACAAUUUGCAUGCAAAACACACACUGCUGUGACACACCUGUGUGUUUUCCUAGUCUAUGCAUAUGUGCAUUCUUGCCACCACAUUUAGAAACCUACGUAGAGUAGGAUAAAAUCCUUGGAUCUGGAAUUUGACAACACUAAUACAGCAGAGUGUUAUACCUAGACACAAAUGUUUCAUGUAGCUUUGACCCCAAAAGGUAUUUGUUAAGAAUGCCGUAUUGGAUAUUAUUGGAAUAAUAACAUUGACAACUUUGCAUGGCUUAUCAGGAAAGGGGGGGGGUCUCCGUGUUCUAGAAUUAUUUCCUUCAGAUAAAAAAUAUUGGUGAAUACAGUGGUACCUCGGGUUACAGACGCUUCAGGUUACAGACACUUCAGGUUACAGACUCCGUUAACCCAGAAAUAGUACCUCAGGGUAAGAACUUUGCUUCAGGAUGAGAACAGAAAUCGCGUGGCGGUGGCACGGCAGCAGCGGGAGGCCCCAUUAGCUAAAGUGGUACCUCAGGUUAAGAACAGUUUCAGGUUAAGAAUGGACCUCCAGAACAAAUUAAGUUCUUAACCCGAGGUACCACUGUACUCUGUCAAGCAGCCUUUCUCAGCCUUGGGUCCCUAGAUGAUGUUGGGCUACCAACUCCUAUGAUUUCUUGCUAGCAUGGUCAGUGGUCAGGGAUGAUAGGAGUUGUAGUUCAAGAACAUAUGGGGACCUAAGCUUGAGAAAGGCUGCUGUAGAGGGUAGCAGUGGAGUCUGUUGGGAGUGUUUUUGGCAGGGGGAGGUGAAAUGGGCAUGCUUGAUCAAGGUCUGGAAGUCUAAGGGAGGUUGGGCUUCUUAAUUUACUUUUCAAAUUGAUCUCAUACACUUUUUACAUCACCCAACAUAACACAGCUUACAUUUUAAAAUAUUCUUAUUCAAAUGCUCAUUUUGUGUAUGGCUGCCCAUUAAACAAGGGCUUGGGCUUGCUUAUAUGUAAGAAGGUAUUUAUAGAUUGUACAGGGCUUUACUAUAUGUGUGAACUGAAACAAAAAAACUUAACUGCUGUACAAUAAAACCUUAUAAUAAAGUAACACUAAACAGUAGCUGUACCAGUGCUAGAUAAUUCCCAGCUUAACAUGUUUUAUUGUUUAGUCGUUUAGUCGUGUCCCACUCUUUGUGACCCCAUGGACCAGAGCACGCCAGGCACUUCUGUCUUCCACUGUCUCCUGCAGUUUGGUCAGACACUGCAGCUUCACAUAAUCAUACUAAAAUCAGAAUGAACUGACUCUUAACUGAUAAAAGCCAUAGUAAAAAAUUGGCUAUUUAAACCUAUUUACAAACCUCAAGAAAAAGAACCCGUUUUAACUCUGUUGCAUCCCAUAGCUGUGAGGCCACAAACAAAAAGGCCCUGUUACCACCCUUUCAGAUUGUACCCAGAAAUGAACUAA